GUACAACAUGAUGGCAAGGUAUGAACCAACACAGAUGGGUUCAGUUUCCAAGUGUGAUGAUGGAGAUGGAAACGGGCAAGAGGAGCUGCAGGGAAGGUGUGGAGAAGCACGCAUGUACAGGACUGGUGAUCCCCGCGGGCGUGGCACCUGUAAACAAGACUAGAAACAGACAUUGAACAUAAGUGGUGUGGAAUAAUGUUAAGCUUCUCUGAUGGGUCCUAAAUGGUUGAAGAACACCCCUCAAGAGAUGGGAAGAUUCUAAGAGCCAGAGAGAAUGGAUUACUCCAAGGCAACACAAUGGGACUGAUGACCACAUGAACUCUUAGAGACUGUAGCAGCUUGCACCAGGCCUGUACAGGUUCAAGCCAGAUGGGGUUCCAGCACUGAGAGGGGAAUUGGACAUGGACGUCUACUCCUUACUAAGAAGCUCUCUGCAACUGAUACCGACUUGCAAAGGAAAAUAGUUUUCUCCAAUGAAGUACCACUGAGUAUAUUAACCAUACUUCAAGGUAGGCCG
rnacentral:lncRNA from 1 species